ensembl:lncRNA
AUGCUGAAUGUUUCAGGUUGUGAGGUGGUGGAGGAGCCAACAAGGAGAGGUGUGCUGCUGGACCUUGUACUAACAAACAAAGAAGGACUGGUGGAAGAUGUGAAGGUCGGGGGCUGCCUUGGCUGCAGUGACCAUGAGAUGGUGGAGUUCAGGAUCCUGCGAGGAGGCAGCAGGGCACUAAGUAGGAUCACAACCCUGGACUUCAGGAGAGCAAACUUUGGCCUCUUCAGGGACAUACUUGGAGGAAUCCCAUGGGUGAGGGCCCUAGAAGGAAGGGGCGUUCAAGAGAGCUGGUUAAUAUUCAAACAUCACCUCCUCCAGGCUCAAGAGCGGUGCAUCCCUAUGAGUAGGAAGUCAAGCAAAGGAGGCAGGAGACCUGCAUGGAUGAGCAAGGAGCUCCUGGCAAAACUCAAGCAGAAGAAGGAAGUAUACAGAAAGUGGAAAGGGGGACAGGCCACUUGGGAGGAAUAUAGGAACGCUGUCAGAGUAUGCAGGGAUGUGACAAGGAAGGCUAAGGCCCGUUUGGAAUUAAAUCUGGCAAGAGAUGUCAAGGACAACAAGAAGGGCUUCUUCAAAUACAUCAGUAGCAAGAAGACGACUAGGGAAAACGUGGGGCCUUUGCUGAAUGGGGUGGGUGCCCUGGUGAUGAAGGAUGCAGAGAAGGCAGAGUUACUGAAUGCCUUCUUUGCUUCAGGCUUUACUGCUCAGGCCAGCCCUCAGGAACCCCAGACCCUGGAGGCAAGAGAGAAAGUCUGGAGAAAGGAAGACUUUCCCUUGGUGGAGGAGAAGUGGGUUAGAGAUCAUUUAAGCAAACUUGACACCCACAAAUCCAUGGGCCCUGAUGGGAUGCACCCACGAGUGCUGAGGAAGCUGGUGGACGUUAUUGCUAAGCCACUCUCCAUCAUCUUUGAAAGGUCAUGGAGGACAGGAGAGGUGCCUGAGGACUGGAAGAAAGCCAAUGUCACCCCAGUCUUCAAAAAGGGCAAGAAGGAGGACCCAGGGAACUACAGGCCAGUCAGCCUCACCUCCAUCCCUGGAAAGGUGAUGGAGCAGCUCAUCCUGGAAGCCAUCUCCACGCAUGUGGAGGAAAAGGAGGUGAUCAGGAGUAGUCAGCAUGGCUUCACCAAGGGGAAAUCAUGCCUAACCAAUCUGAUAGCCUUCUAUGAUGGAAUGACUGGCUGGGUAGAUGAGGGGAGAGCAGUGGAUGUUGUCUACCUUGACUUCAGCAAGGCUUUUGACACUGUCUCCCAUAACAUCCUCAGAGACAAGCUCAGGAAGUGUGGGCUGGAUGAGUGGACAGUGAGGUGGAUUGAGAACUGGCUGAAUGGCAGAGCUCAGAGGGUUGUGAUUAGCGGUGCAGAGUCUAGUUGGAGGCCUGUAGCUAACGGUGUCCCCCAGGGGUCAGUACUGGGUCCAGUCUUGGACCAACUUGUUCAUCAGUGA